AGAGGAACAAUAAGUUGGACACAGAUAACUCAACUAUCAAGUAGUGGUGCAACGGAUCAUCCGUGAUCGCUCUCCACGGUUGGGAACGCACGUGGUGCGCGGAUUGGCUGAUGAAAAAAAAGUUGUACGUGGUCACGUGGAGAGAGCAUGUUUAAUCAACACUAGUUGAGUGCAGCUGUAGUCAUGGCUAGCGGAGGAGCAGAGGAUCUUGAAAAACCUUCUGCGUCAUUUAAGUCGCCCAUAUGGGUGGACAAAACUAUAACCGUGUGUAGUGUGGCACGAGACAACCGUAUGAGAGUGGAAAUACAUCGAGUAUGGUCACCCAUAUGAAGCAACAUCACCUGGAUGUGUCAGUGGCAGGAGCCAAGACUAAGGCUGCUCAACAACGGCUUAUCGCCGGCAUAUAAACAGCUGAUCCGAUCCGUGACUCAGAACCAUGUUCAUAGAGAGAUGAUGCCACAUGUGGUCCAGCUGAUGGAAGGUCUUGAAGUUCUCGGACUGAAGAUGGUCCUCUCACUGGAUUUAAGGUUCAGAUGCUCAGUAACAAACUCCACCAAUGAGUCAACAGGGAAGCUUUAGGUUUAUUAAAUGUUGCUGUGAAGGUAUUGCUGUUUUUCUUUGUGAAUGCAGUGUGAUCCAACUGAAACUUGAACUAGAACUUAAAAGUAAAUCCUUCCAUCUGACAGGAUUUAGUUGCAUUAAUAACCUCAUAACGUUCUAAUUUUUAUUCCAGUCUUGGUUGGAAAUAAAAUCUCUGUAUUGAUUCUGGUAAAAACUGAACUUCACAGCUUGUUGGAGCAGAACAACCAGAUGAAAAGUGUGAUGGUGUUGGAUUGUCAGACCGUAGUGUUACAGCUCAAAGCAGCUUUUCUAGCUCAGUUCAUUCUGACAUUCAGCUCUGAAUCAACACAGCAGAUCCAGUUGAUGGUGAUCCAUGCUGUGGAAGUCUCACAUCUCCUCAUUUAAUGGAGCUGCUUUGCACUUUUUACAGUUUAUUCACCAACACUUUAUUUCAUAAAAGUCCCAUCUAGUUUGUUUUUUGUUUUUUUGAGGCAUGUGAUGUUUUAAUUUCUCUGUGAAUAACUGCAGUCGAAUGGAACAGCUGGAGUUGUAGCAUCUGUCCUGAUAUUGAUCAUGAAGUAUUGAUCAGAAUACUUAUGGUCAGCAAUCAUCCCUGAAGUUUGACAUUAAAUUCUUUACUGUUAUUGUGAACUUUGGUAAGAAGCAGAAACUUUAGUGUUGCCAUGGAUACAUGAGUGUUAAAUUAGGUCCAUGUUUCCAUUUUGGGAAAUGCAGUCCAGCAGAUGAGUUUGUUUUUACUGCCAGCUACCAUUCAGUCUGAGAUAUUAAGAGUAAAUAAAUGUGCAUAAUGUGGAAAUGAACAGAUUUUAUUUUUAUUUAUUCCUACAGCUGCUCCAGGUAAAGUUCCAGAAUGUGGAGGAAUUUAGUCUCACAAUCACAGACAAUAAAUCUUAUUUGAAAGUCGGGUUAUUGUUGUUUAUGAGUACAAUACAAAAAGAUUCAUGUUGGACAUAUUCCAGUUAAGACCCUAGAAUAUCAUGAUUUAUGUAAAUUUACUUCAGUAAUAUGAAUGUUCAGGUUAAGAUUGUGCAGUGACAUUUAUUAUCUAAGUUUAGCUGAUUAAAGUUUAUGACUCUGCACUACAAUAUUAUUUAAAUUUACAUCAUUAUAAUAUUUAUGGUCAGACCCUACAGUAUUGAGAUUAAGAAAUCAAAUAUUCUAUAAAAUGUAAAUACACUGAACUAAUUUGGAUAUACUUAAAUAGAAACACAAGUAUCUGUUUGAAGAAACUUAUGCAGAGUCCUGGUUCCAGAAUAUGAUAGAAUUAUUGACAAACGUAGCAAAAGCUGCCUGAGAGUUUACAGGUUAGAUUUCUUCAGUAACUUAUUGAUAGUUAUCAGCAAAAAAUCAAUUAUUCAUUUGAUGAACUUCAUUUCCUAAAACAUCCAGAAUUGGAGCUCAAAUCUUUGGCAGCUGUAAAGGUUCUGCUCCUUCAAAGUUCACAACACAAUGAAUUAAUUCCUAAAACACUCAAUGCCGGAGAGCGUUUGUGCUGCUGAAGCAGUGACCAGUUUUUCUGUUUCUUCUCUUGAGAUGCACAAUGAGGGACGUCUGCAGCAACUGAGAAAGAGUCUCACCACAUCCUGACAUGAGGAAAAAGACUUAUUUGAAGACGACAAUGAUAAAAACUAUCAGACAGCAGACGGCAGCAUUCAAGGUUACAGGAGGAGUCCUACAAGGAUGAGCUGGUCCACCUGAUGGCAGCCAGUCGCUGCAGUUCAAAGCCAACACCGACUACACGGACUUCUACUGGACCACACGGAGGCCUUCAAACUGGACCAACAAGUUCACAGACUCCCCGACUCGUGGGUGUGAGGAUGCCGCUGAGUCUCGGCCCAGCCGGCCACCUGUCUGUGGGUGUUUGAGUGCUGAGAGGAUUACCACAGACCUGACCGUGAACACCGCUGACACUCACCUGAAGGAGAUGCUGCCUAAGAUCUCAAGACUGCUUGGUCGUGGUCUUUCUGGCCCUGCUGGAGAACAUCUUCAUCAACUACAUCUUCUUUGAAGAGGCCCUCAGAUGCUGCAAUCUCUGACCGGAGGAACUGCUACUUUCACUCUGUAAUGAGACGGUGGUUAUUUUAAAGACCCAGCUCCUGGCGGCUUUGAGUGAAAAUUUAACAUCCAUCAAAACAGAACUACAGACUUAAAUCUGAGCUGUCGGUCAGUAUUUCAAACAUCAAGUACGACCCGGGUGCCCUAAUGUAUUUAUUUUGGUGAAUGAAAUAAACAAACUAAUUAACUAGUUACCUUAGUUUCUCAGUCCCUGUUUUCAUUGAGUCUUUUCUUUAUAACAUAGGGUUCUGAGGUGCAAGUGGGAGGAUAUUGUUGUUACUGUUUUUUUACUGUUUUUUAAUCCCUUUGUUCUUUGUAUUCCAUUUAUCAGAAAAGUCCUGUAUAAACAAAAUGUGAGUGAUUGAUUGAUUGAAUUUGUAAUCUUGUGUUGUGCAUUGUCUUUAAAAUGUUAAAUACAACAUGUAUGUUUACACUCAAUGAAUGUGUUUCAAUUAAA